GGCCUGAUGGUCUAGCGGUAUGAUUCUUGCUUCGGGAGUGACAUCUCAGUCUUAUAAAGAGACUAUAGUUUGCGAGAGGUCCCGGGUUCAAUCCCCGGUCAGGCCC
rnacentral:tRNA from 1 species